UGCUUUAGUAUGAUAUGCUAUGUUCGACUGCUUUAGUCUGAUAUGCUAUGUUCGACUGCUUUAGUAUGAUAUGCUACAUUGUUAACCUACUGUCCAUACCAAACAUACCAUACUACCAUACUUGAGUGUCCCAGAUGCACAUGUAUUAUCUUACAUCUGGUAGUUAAUGUAAUGUAACCUAACGUAAAGAAACAUAUCAGACUAAAUGGAGUGGCACAGAUUUUAGUAAAAUAUUCUAUGUUUUUCUCAGAGACCAGGCUGAUAAGGAUAGUAAUUACAUUUUAAGAGCAACAACAAUAUAUUCUCAAUAGUCUAUCAGUAUUGUGGAUAUUACGAACCUUGAUUAACAUCUAGCUGCUGCUACCAUUUCUAGAAAGAUUAGACAGUGCUAGAGUUUCAAUGUCAUGAUUGUUUAGUGCUCUAACAUAUUAUUUUAUAAAAUACAGUUGAUCUAGUUUUUGUUUGAGUAGAGGAGAGAGUAGAGCUCCAGUCAGCGUAGAGUAGAGCUCCAGACAGAGUAGAGUAGCGAGUAGAGCUCCAGACAGAGUAGAGUAAAGUAGCGAGUAGAGCUCCAGACAGAGUAGAGUAAAGUAGAGAGUAGAGCUCCAGACAGAGUAGAGUAGAGCUCUAAACAGAGUAGAGUAGAGCUCUAAACAGAGUAGAGUAGAGCUCCAGACAGAGUAGAGUAGCGAGUAGAGCUCCAGACAGAGUAGAGUAGAGCUCCAGACAGAGUAGAGUAGCGAGUAGAGAUCCAGAUAGAGUAGAGUGGAGAGUCAGGGUGGGGGUCCUGUGGGUGAGGGAGAGGGGCAUUGUGGGUGAAAUGUUGUUUGAACAAUGAGUGGACAGCCAGACAGUGACUUGCCUUGUGUGGGCCCCUCCCCAUAGGAAGCACUAUAAGAGGGUCCUGACCAGCACCAUCAUCAUCCAGAAGAACUACAGGGCUCACUUCUGGAGACGUGUGUUCCUGCGGCUCCGCGCUGCAGCUGUCCUUCUCCAGAAACACCAACGUGGUCGGCUGGCCCGAGGCCUCUAUCGACAGCUCUCUGAGGAGAAAAGGAGGAGGGAGGAGGAGGAGAGGAGGAGGAGGGAGGAGGAGAGCAGGAGGCUGGAAGAGGAGACGAGACGAGAGCAGGAGGAACGGAGGAGGAGGGAGGAAGAGGAGGAGGAGCGGAGGAGGAGAGAGGAAGAGGAGCGGAGAAGGAGAGAGGAAGAGGAGGAGAGACAAAGGGUGUUAGAGCUGGAGGAGUUGAGGAAGAAGGAGGAGAGACUGAGACUACAACAGGAGCAUGAAGCACUGAGUAGAAAAGAGGAGGAGCUUAGCAACGGACAGGAAGAGAAGAAAAACACUACAGCUAACAACAGGAACUCCCUGAGGAUGGAGUAUCUUGCUCCCCAUGAGGAGGUGUACCACAAGGUGUCCCUGU
rnacentral:lncRNA from 13 species